UAAGCUCUCAGUACUUUUCUUGUCCCAGGGUCUGAGAUCCGGCAGCACUUUGCGGAGUGAGACUUUAUUACAGCUAUUACCACACGGGCUUCUCUCCUGCUGAGACACAGGAAGAACUCAAUAAAUGGUUUUGUGUGUCAGUAAUUCAGAAGCAACUUAGCUGGGUGAUUCCGACUUGGUGUUUCUCAUGAAGGUGCAGUCAUCUGAAGA